GAUGAAGAACGUAGCGAAAUGCGAUACGUAAUGUGAAUUGCAGAAUUCAGUGAAUCAUCGAAUCUUUGAACGCACAUUGCGCCCUUUGGUAUUCCGAAGGGCAUGCCUGUUCGAGCGUCAUUAUCACCCCUCAAGCCCCGGCUUGGUGUUGGGCUCUCGGUGGUCGUCUCCGACCACCCGUCUCAAAGAUAGUGACGGCGUCCCAGAGGGAACCGGUACGAGGAGCUUUCACGAGCAUGUACGCGGGACGACUCUGCGGGCGACGGUCUUAUUUACUUUAUAUACAAGUGUUGACCUCGGAUCAGGUAGGAAUACCCGCUGAACUUAAGCAUAUCAAUAAGCGGAGGA
rnacentral:misc_RNA from 1 species